rnacentral:rRNA from 1 species
UACAGAGGUCCCAAGCGUUGUUCGGAUUCACUGGGCGUAAAGGGUGCGUAGGUGGUGAGGUAAGUCGGAUGUGAAAUCUCCGAGCUCAACUCGGAAAUGGCAUUGGAAACUACCUUGCUAGAGGGUUGGAGGGGGGGACUGGAAUACUUGGUGUAGCAGUGAAAUGGCGUAGAUAUCAAGUGGAACACCAGUGGCGAAGGCGAGUCCCUGGACAACUCCUGACACUGAGGCACGGAACGAGCUAGGGGGAGCAAACAGG